rnacentral:lncRNA from 1 species
AUAUAUAUAUAUAUAUAUAUAUAUAUAUAUAUUCCCCAAGUAUAUUCUUUGGAGAAGCUGCUAUAACUUCACUACAGAUAUUGAAUUCUUAGAGGUGAAUUGCUGCAACGUGUCAUAUUAUUUACAAAACUGCAUCAUCUCGCAUCCACGUUUGACAUUCUAUUUACUGCUCCAUAGACUGGUCAUUGUGGCCAAGCAAUAUACAAAACAAAAUAAAGGCAAAACAAGCUGAAAACAGAAAUAAACAAAUAAUACAGUAGAGAAGUUUCAUCCUUGCAAUUAGAAGUGAAACAAAGAACAAUCUGCUUUUUUAGCUAGAGACUAAACACACAAACCAUGAGAAAUUGUUUGAAGGGGGUAAUCAUGCGCACAUCGCACGCGCAGACACAGAUGCGGAACACAUGUGCGCGCGCUCGCACGGACAAAAGGAAAUUAAGAAAUGACAAGAUCCAUGAGAUCAGAGUGUUGGUGGGGGUCCUGGCUCGAACAAUGGAGGGCAGCAACUCCUGAAGAGGCCACAGCAGCAAAGACAGCACAGACUGCAAUUUUUUACAAGAAGAAAGCCAAAGGUUGAGUUCAUUGCAAGUGUAUAAACUUUUCUUCAGCAACCAAUUUUUUUUUCUUUUCUUGGCAAAUGCAUGCAGGUGUACUAUCCGAACCUUAGCGCAUUCGUGAUGGGUACCGGAAUGUUAAAAGCUAUUAUUUCAAUGCUCAACUUGUUAUACUUUUAGCUAUCGUCGCAACUAUUUUGACAGAAUACUAUGUUGCUUGCUGGCACAUUCAUAUUUUGAAAUUCAGGUACUUGAUUCAAAAUAGCCCAUGAAUCAGGUAAUUCUCUGUACAUUUUUACCUUCUUUUUUGUAAAAAAAGCCUAAUAGUUUAAAUUCUGAGCCAGAAAACAAUCACUAAUAUGCAGUAUAAGACUCUUUUCAGAUACUCACUGCCAUGUAUGUACACAAGUUGAGAAGAAGCAGAAGAGGAGCAAAGCAGCAGCAGGUGAGUGAUUACCAUGAAUCCAGGAAUCCGUCAGGUGGUGGCGCAGGUGCGGGCGGAAGCAGUGGCACUUCCGGUGACGGCGGUGAGUACGGCCGCGGCGGGGGACGAGGAUCAGGUUCCAUAAUCUUCGGUAAGGAUUGAUGAGGAAAAUUUCAGUUUGGUGAGUGUUUUGUGCACAUCAGGUGUAUAAUUUUUUUUUUUUAAUCAUAAAUCACCUACUCUUCAAAUUGUGAGUAUCCAACUAACAUUCUGCAUGAACUUGAAUCUUUAUGUGGAGGUUUCCUUUUUUUCUCUGAGGAGUUUGAAACCCAAAUAUAUAUACUAAACCAACACAAAAAUCAUACAUGUGCAUUGUAGGAAGCAUGAUAUCAGUGUACUAAGGCCUCAUUGUUCUUUCCUUGAGUUUGUGGUUUCUAUUCCCUAUUGCCAUUCUAUAAUAAAAAGUUUCAUUUAAUGCACGUGAGAGGUGUUAAUACUUUUUCCUUUUUUUCUUUUUUCUUUUUUUUUUUCGCUGUCGCA